CUUAUCCUCACUUUCUCCUCAUCCCUCCAUUCAUCGUUCUCCCGACCAAUUCCAGUAAUCUCUGUCUCUUUCCCUCUUGUCACUCCCCCUCAGCACUGUCUGUCUCUCCUGUUUCCAUCUCUUUGAUCGACUUUGACUAAGUUUAAAGCAUGGGCUGUGGGAAUUCCACCUCUGCCAGCACAGCUGCAGGUCCAUCUGAGUCAGCCAAAGAUGUGAUAAUCUCUCCAAUCUCCUCAACCCAAUUCGAUGCAUGACCCCUCAAGAUUUAAUGGACCAUACAAUUUACCAGAUAUGAUACUCAAAUUGUGUUCAGUCGAAUGCAAUCAUUUAUACUCCAGAGCUGCUAAAAGGUUUGUUGCUAUUGAGAAUUCUA
ensembl:lncRNA